AAGGGCAUGAAUGGCUAUUUUUCCCUCCCCUCCCCUUACAUAAAAACUGUGUGCUUCUCAAUAUCCCACUCUUUCCCCCUUUGAAUUUGGAACACUCAAAAUCAUCUACAGAGAAAGGCAUAGACCUGUCUCUUGGAUGUGCCCUUAACUUUAACAAAUGAAGCUGCUAAAAUGAUUGAGAUUUGUCUCAUCAUUUUCCUCGACUGACAUCUGGUAACCAUGGAGGGAUCCUGAGUGAAAGUGACCUGGCCUGUGGAAAUUUGCCUCUCAGUGCUUGGUACCUGCUUGGGCACUUUAUAUCCCAAAAUGACAGGAAGAUUUGCCGAAGUCAGGCACCUCUUUCCUCCAGGGAUCCCUUCUAAUAUUUUUCAGUUAGGGGUCUGAGGUUUAUUUGCUGUUAAAACAACUCGCCUUUUUUGUGGUAGUUCUUUUACUUGCUUCCAUCAAGGAAAGUGAGCUCAUCUGCUUCUGCAUCGGUGGAGAGUGGUCUCUGGCUUGGGCCCCAUCACUAGGCUACUGUACCUUUCACAUUGACAUUCAUGAUGGACUCUCUGUGAGUGACACCA
rnacentral:lncRNA from 10 species